GACAGAGGUCCCGAGCGUUAGGCGGAAUCACUGGGCUUAAAGCGUGUGUAGGCGGAUCCGUAAGUACCUUGUGAAAUCCCACGGCUCACCCGUGGAACUGCUCGGUAUACUGCGGGUCUUGGGCCAUCUAGGGGCGAGCGGAACAAACGGUGGAGCGGUGAAAUGCGUAGAUAUCGUUUGGAACGCCAAUGGUGAAAACAGCUCGCUGGGGAUGUGCCGACGCUGAGACACGAAAGCCAGGGGAGCAAACGGG
rnacentral:rRNA from 1 species